UGGGGAAUAUUGGGCAAUGGGGGCAACCCUGACCCAGCGACGCCGCGUGGAGGAAGGAGCCCUUCGGGGUGUAAACUCCUGUUGUAAGGGAAGAAGACAGUGACGGUACCUUACGAGGAAGCCCCGGCAAACUACGUGCCAGCAGCCGCGGUAACACGUAGGGGGCGAGCGUUGUCCGGAAUUACUGGGCGUAAAGCGCACGCAGGCGGAUGCGCGCGCCGGCUGUGAAAUGCACCGGCUCAACCGGUGCACUGCGGUCGAUACGGCGCAGCUGGAGUGCGGGAGAGGGAAGCGGAAUUCCCGGUGUAGCGGUGAAAUGCGUAGAUAUCGGGAGGAACGCCGGUGGCGAAGGCGGCUUCCUGGCCCGCAACUGACGCUCAUGUGCGAAAGCCAGGGGAGCGAACCGG
rnacentral:rRNA from 2 species